UGUCUCCGUUGGUGAACCAGCGGAGGGAUCAUUAUCGAGUUAUUCAACUCCCAAACCCUAUGUGAACUUACCACUUGUUGCUUCGGCGCGCGCUUCGGCGCCGCCGAGGACACUUAAACUCUUUGUUUUUAUAAGCAUUUCUGAGUGGCCGAAAGGCAAAAAUACAAAUGAAUCAAAACUUUCAACAACGGAUCUCCUGGUUCUGGCAUCGAUGAAGAACGCAGCGAAAUGCGAUAAGUAAUGUGAAUUGCAGAAUUCAGUGAAUCAUCGAAUCUUUGAACGCACAUUGCGCCCGCCAGCAUUCUGGCGGGCAUGCCUGUUCGAGCGUCAUUUCAACCCUCGAGCCCGACUCUUUUGAGGACGGCUCGGCGUUGGGGGACGGCAGACUCCCCCCGGCAUCUCGCCGGGGACGCCGCCCCCGAAAUCUAGUGGCGGCCCUCCGAGGCGACCUCUGCGUAGUAACUUGUUCUCGCACCGGAAAGCUCAGAGCGGCCACGCCGUAAAACCCCAACUUUUUGCAGGUUGACCUCGAAUCAGGU
rnacentral:rRNA from 1 species